rnacentral:rRNA from 1 species
UACGUAGGGGGCAAGCGUUGUCCGGAAUCAUUGGGCGUAAAGCGCGUGUAGGCGGCCAGAAAAGUCCGCUGUGAAAACUCGAGGCUCAACCUCGAGACGUCGGUGGAAACCGUUUGGCUAGAGUCCGGAAGAGGAGAGUGGAAUUCCCGGUGUAGCGGUGAAAUGCGCAGAUAUCGGGAAGAACACCCGUGGCGAAGGCGGCUCUCUGGGACGGUACUGACGCUGAGACGCGAAAGCGUGGGGAGCGAACAGG